GACGAACGCUGGCGGCGUGCUUAACACAUGCAAGUCGAACGGAAAGGCCCUGCUUUUGUGGGGUGCUCGAGUGGCGAACGGGUGAGUAACACGUGAGUAACCUGCCCUUGACUUUGGGAUAACUUCAGGAAACUGGGGCUAAUACCGGAUAUGAGCUCCUGCUGCAUGGUGGGGGUUGGAAAGUUUCGGCGGUUGGGGAUGGACUCGCGGCUUAUCAGCUUGUUGGUGGGGUAGUGGCUUACCAAGGCUUUGACGGGUAGCCGGCCUGAGAGGGUGAACGGCCACAGUGGGACUGAGAUACGGCCCAGAAUCCUAAGGGAGGCAGCAGUGGGGAAUAUUGCACAAUGGGCGGAAGCCUGAUGCAGCAACGCCGCGUGCGGGAUGACGGGCUUCGGGUUGUAAACAGAUUUCGCCUGUGACGAAGCGUGAGUGACGGUAAUGGGUAAAGAAGCACCGGCUAACUACGUG
rnacentral:rRNA from 1 species